UUAUAAAGCACUUAGAACUUGUGAAGAAGAGUGCCUGGGGAUUGCCUAAGGUCAGGAGUUCAAGACCAGCCUGGCCAACAUGGAGAAACCUCGUCUCUGCUAAAAAUACAAAAACUAACCACGCAUGGUAGUGCACACCUGUAGUCCCAGCUACUUGGGGGGCUGAGGCAGGAGAAUCACUUGAACCUGGGAGGUGGAGGUUGCAGUGAGCCAAGAUUGCGCCACUGCACUCCAGCCUGGGCAACAGAGCAAGACUCGGUCUCCAAAGAAGAAAAAAAAAACUGCCUGGCUACAGAAUAAGAACUACAUGGAGUUAUUAAAUCAAAAUCGGUGCACAAAUGAUAAUUCUUAAGAGUGAGUGCUACAGAGAACACAAAAGGCAAGGCACAGAGAGAUGACCUGGGAGGCAGGGAAGGAAAGCACUCCCAGAGAGUCUCUUUCUGUCACCCAGU
rnacentral:lncRNA from 1 species